UACGGAGGAUGCAAGCGUUAUCCGGAUUUAUUGGGUUUAAAGGGUGCGUAGGCGGGAAGUCAAGUCUGUGGUGAAAAGUCCGGGCCUAACCUGGAUCGUGCCAUGGAAACUGUCUUUCUUGAAUAGUGGUGCCGUUGGCGGAAUGUGAAGUGUAGCGGUGAAAUGCUUAGAUAUUACACAGAACACCGAUUGCGAAAGCAGCUGACGAACCACCGAUUGACGCUGAUGCACGAAAGUGCGGGUAUCGAAC
rnacentral:rRNA from 1 species